CAGUGAUAUUCGUCAUCGAUGUUUGUUAUGCAUGCGAAAUGGAAACACUGAGUUUGUCAAACUUUAAAAAGUUCAUGGCAUACCCAUGGUUAGUUUGGGUGUUUACACAUCUUGACUGCUUUGAAGAUAUAGGUGAAGAUAAUGAAGAAAUACGAACAGCACACUUCAAAAAAGAUUCAGGAAUGAAAUAUACGAAGGAGCACAGAUUUCUGCCUAUCUGCUCCAGUUGACGAGAUGUAUCUGGGGCAAGGUAUUCGCGUACCGGCAAGCUUCAUAUUGGUUAUAGAGUUCCAUCCUU